GCUAAGGUAGCAUAAUCAUUUGUUAUUUAAUUGGUAACUGGAAUGAAAGGUUAAACUAGUUUAUUAAGUUUGUGAGACUAAAUAGGAGUUUAAAGUUAAGGUAAGAAUUCUUUAAUUUUUUAGGGGACGAUAAGACCCUAGAAGCUUAACGAGCGGUUGUUUUGUUUUAUAAAUUUGUUCGUUUUACUGGGGCGGUAAAAAUAAUUAAGCUAUUUGUUAUUUAAGGGAUCCUUAAAAUAAAGAAAAAAUGGAGAAGUUACUCUAGGGAUAA
rnacentral:rRNA from 1 species